CUACCCAGACCCUGACUGAGAUCAGGUCCCCCCUUGUGCCAAGCACUGCACAGACCCCGACCGAGAUCAGGGCCCCCCUUGUGCCAGGUGCUUGCACAGACCGCGACCGAGAUCAGGGCUCCCCUUGUGCCAGGCACCGCACAGACCCUGAACGAGAUCAGGGCUCCCCUUGUGCCAGGCGCCGCACAGACCCCGAACAAGAUCAGGGCCCCCCUUGUGCCAGGUGUGCACAGACCCCGA